rnacentral:lncRNA from 1 species
UCUCCGUUCUUCAAAAACUUGGGCUCCUUCUCCAGCUCCUUACCCGAUCGCCUGUCCACCUUCGUCAAGAUCUCGGCAAACUUCACGGCAAUGUGAGAGGUGUGACAGUCCAGCACCGGCGCGUAACCGUUUCCGAUCUGUCCCGGGUGGUUCAUGAUGAUAACCUGGGCAGUGAAGUUGGCUGCUUCCUUCGCAGGGUCGUUCUUCGAGUCCGAAGCCACGUAUCCUCUCUUCAGGUCCUUCACCGCCACGUUCUUCACAUUGAACCCGACGUUGUCUCCGGGGUGAGCCUCAGGCAUCGACUCGUGGUGCAUCUCCACCGACUUCACCUCAGUCGUCAGUCCAGUGGGUGCAAAGCACACCAACAUACCCGGCCUGAUGAUUCCAGUCUCCACACGUCCCACUGGCACAGUUCCAAUACCUCCAAUCUUGUAGACAUCCUGAAGGGGCAACCGCAGGGGUUUGUCGGAUGGCCUCUUGGGCUCUGACACGUUGUCCAGGGCCUCGAGAAGGGUUGGGCCCUUGUACCAGUCCAAGUUCGUCGAUCGCUCGAUCAUGUUAUCACCCUCAAACCCUGAAAUGGGCACGAACGGAAUCUUGUCCGGGUUGUAACCGACCUUCUUGAGGUACGUCGACACCUCCUUGCUGAUCUCAUCGAAUCGAGCCUUGCUGUACUUCGGCGUGGUAGCGUCCAUCUGCCACACAUGGCAUACACAUCGUCAAUAAAAGGACAUCCUCAACCCAUGCGUGCCCUAUUCUCACUCCAAAACGGUUCUAGCUUUUCUAAGUUGGUGGUUAUAUACAAUGACAUAAGACAGUACAUAUGUCAGGCGGUCUAAUUCAUUGGUCCAAGUAACCAAAGUAGACCUUGUUCAUACAUCGGCGGUCGCAGUAUGAUUCAAAAUGCGGUACCGAGACGAACUCAAUGAAUGUACAUUUGAUAUGACUUACCUUGUUGCAGCAGCAGAUCAUCUGCUUCACUCCCAAGGUGAAAGCCAACAGUGCAUGCUCACGGGUCUGCCCAUCCUUGGAGAUACCAGCCUCGAAUCCUCCGGUGGUGGAGUCAAUGAUCAGCACUGCGCAGUCCGCCUGCGACGUUCCCGUAAUCAUGUUCUUGAUGAAAUCGCGAUGUCCGGGAGCGUCGAUCACAGUGCAGUAGUACUUCACGGUCUCGAACUUCCACAGCGCAAUAUCGAUCGUGAUACCACGCUCGCGCUCAGCCUUCAGCUUGUCCAGCACCCACGCGUACUUGAACGAACGCUUGUUCAUCUCAGCCGCUUCCUUCUCAAAGCGCUCGAUCACACGCUUGUCGAUCCCUCCUAGCUUGUAGAUCAGGUGGCCUGUGGUCGUAGACUUGCCGGAGUCGACAUGGCCGAUGACCACAAUGUUGAUGUGAACUUUCUCCUUACCCAUCUUCGAUUAUCUGCACAACCUUUCAAACUUGUGUAAGAUAUCCAGGCAGCACAGAAUCUCGGAAAUACGAAGUUCGAAGUACACAGCAAAGAAAAAUUGUAUCCAGAAAAUAGCUACCUUUCAGUCUCUCUGAUAAAGAUUAGGACGUGAAGACUACCUACUAACAGGGAAGGAAACGACAGCAGGUAUCAACCAUGAGAAACUCCAAGAACCCCAUCUCGCAUUGGGCAGCCGCGCCGGCUGACUGAAUGACAAAGAAGGUGAUCCACAAAAACCCUAAUAAAAGUGCACAAACAUGUUACUUCACACCGAAAGAGGCUCUCAAACAACCAGAUUUUUCAGCAGAAAAGAACCGCAUUGUUAUUGCAUACCUGGAAAACGAGGCAGAGGUUCCGAGCAGCGUAGGAAAAAACGACAGUGGCGACUAAUCUCGCAGGAGAGCUCUGGAGAGUAUGUCACGGGACGACAGAUUAGCGUGCGGCGCUCCCUCUUCAAGGGCUUACGCUGGUGGCUCCGCCCUCGAAUCGUCCAUCGAACGGCCCUGCUUGACAGUCCGCAUGGUUCACGGCGCGGUUAGACGCGCCGUUUGGGAGGCGUGCCUGGAGGCGGGGGCGAGGAAGCAACCCCCUGCCCUAAUGAGGACUCCCAUGCACAAGGGUGGCGGCUUCGUGAGCCCACGUUAUCAUGUUCUAAUUUCGAGGCCCAAACCGGAUUAAAUCUCUGUGGGUAUCUCCGACCAAAAGAAUUUGAUCCUCACUGUAGCUCCUCAGCGGUUCGUAUGCAUGAGUGUCAUGAACCCAAGAAUUUCUCACAAACUUUGCCUUGAGUGUGAUGCUCUUGUUGCCGUCUCGGAGUUAAUCAAGAGCGCAAGCUGUGACCUAGCUUACGUAGACUGCUAUUCAAUUGUGUACAUGCUGCUGAAAAACAAUCAUGUUCUUAAUUUUUAUAGAAAUGAAUAAUUUGCCAAAUUUUUCUGCGGCUACAGAAUUGGUGGUCACGGAACAAGCAGCGUCCAUGCUGAGCAAUGUAUUCAUCUGUGAUUUUUGACUGUGUUAUAUGACGUCCGCAUUCUGAAGCUACAAGCAGGAGUGAGUGUUGGAAUUGGGUAUUCAUGCGCAAAUGGGAAUUGGAUAGUAAGCACGUCUGGAAGCCAAGGGUUUAUCAUGACAGAAGUCUUUGCCGUCCACUGAACUAGUCUCAUGCCAUGUUCGUGAUGCCGGCACCAUAUUAUGGUGCAUGUUUUAUGUUGGUGAGUUUAUGUCACACAUUUUCAUGUAUCUCUAGGGAUGGAGGGAGAGUUGUGAUCGUGCGGUGAGAUAAUGGUGAUGAGCUUUCAGAGGCCGGAUAAUACAAGAGAAAUUGGGCACAGUUGCUCGUUGAGAACGACCUCCGCGAGGGUUUUAUUGAGGUAUCUGUUUUCCCAACCUCUACGUCCGUUUAUGAAAUUGGGCAUGAGUGAAGAUUAGUGGUGCGAGGGACUUCUGUGCUGCAUUUAGAAUUACAUCACGUACCAAAUAUUGUUCAAGUCAUUGUGCGAGACAUUCUUCACGAGUACAGUAAGUCCGUUGGAGACUCCGAGUUUCUUCCCAUCACUUUAGAAGUUCGUUAUGUUUCUUACCUUCAUGGGGCGGCGGAAGCUCCAUGGUCUAUGUGUUUUUUGGAAGUAUCAUGUGCGAUUCUCUGGGAACGCGCGCUACAAUUGAAACGCACACUAUUUUUGGUUGUUUGUUUGUUUGUUUUUCUCUUGCUUUAGAUUCACUUAGAAAUUGCCAAUAACCGAAUUCGCGAAUGCGCCAACUGAGUUAAAGUUCCCCCAGUAGAGGAUCCUGGAGCCUAGCAUCCCAAAUAUAUUUCCCUGUUCUCAGUCCUGAACCAUACCAACUCCAUUGUUAUCGCUACUCUUGUUUUAGCAGCAGGAAGUGGGAAUCGCUUGCUUUGGAGUGCGUAUAAUAAUACAGCAUUGCGGUGGUCAAAAAAUAAAGUACUCUUCUGCACCCUGUCAUUACUAUCUCUACGUAUUCGAUCAAGCUGUUCACGAGCUCGUCGACUAGAUUUGAAGAGUUUAUUGUUCUGGUGCGAGCCACGGUACGAAAUUAUCGCAUUACAAUUACUAAGUGACGGCUUCUACACAACGUAAUUCGGAGGCGGUUUGCAUUGGCACCCUGAAUCAUACUGUGGUGCUAUUAUCCUCAAUUUGCAUCUGAGUGCUGUGUCUGUGCACCAGGGCACGAAACGGUACUUGAGGAGACUUCGUCCAGUGUGUGCUCGGAAUGGCGCCAGAGUUGAGGUUGAGGAGCUUGGAGUGGUUCGCCUUAAGAAAAGAGAAGGGAGAGACAAUGGAGAGAAAUUGCCAGAAGAUCUCGGGCUGAGGUUGGAGAUCAAGGCGAAGGCUGCUGCUUUUAUUAGCAAUGCGCAAUCGGCGAAAGGAGGUGAAGGGCUGCUUGGACAAAUACUCGGUGUGGAUCUCGGGUUGUGAAGACUGGGUUGUCAGUUAGUGUGGGUGGUUAUGAGCCUCGGUCUUCGACUGUAAAAUUUUUUAUACUAUAACAAUUUCGUUUUGCACGAAAUGGCUGUGGUAAUGUCACAGUGCAUCGUUUUCUCCAUGCAUCAAGUCUUUUUUAAUCACCUACUGUCUGCCAACUCAAGCACUACAUUCUGAUACGAGUGUGUGAGUACGGGACCACUUUUUACACUGUGUACUUUGUCGCUGAGCAAGAUUUGUCUCAUAACUAGAAAAGCAGCGGACCUGUUUGAUGCACCUCAUCUCUUAAGCCGGUCGUUUUAUAAUUUUUCUGUGAAUGUAUGGAGAGCCUCCUCUUUUGCAGGCUGUCAUGUGGAAGACGGUUUGUGCAAUUUCAAUCGAGUAAAUUGAAAAUAACGUAGCAGCAGAUUUGAUGUUUGAGAACAAAACCACAAAUCUGUCAUCUCUGCUAACAUCAGCCUUGUAAAUGAAGAAAUGUUGAAGGAACGGGUCGGUUACAAAGGAGUUCGAAAUUCUGCUCAUGUUUUCGACAGUAAUGUUAGGUUGUGCCCCAUAACGGUACUCAUACAUUUGACGUGUUUCUCAUGUACUCGGCAAGUUAAAACUGCGAUGGCAUCUGAUAGUUUGGUGUAGAUCUAAACCAUGACAACAGAGCAUGAGGGAUCAGAUAUACGUUUCAUCUCUAUUUGAUUCGGUUCCUAGUGAUGCACGAUGUCUGCUUCGAGAACGAGGAUUGUGUUCUUGUUUGGCUAAGCUGCGUCACUGCAGAAAGCAGGCGAGUUUGUAUUUAGCAAGAUUUGUGAACAAGGAUAUGUGGAUAAUCUCAAUUCUCUAUACUACCGCAGAAAACUGCAAAUAGGAAAGAAAAGCGGUCAACCUCGAACAUGUCGGAACAUGCGGAACUGUGCAGUACUCAUGGUAAUUGGUUGGAUAUGAUGCAGAGGCAAUAACAGACGGGAACAGAUUGUCUCGCAAGCGACAUGACGCUUAUGCUGCCUUGGUCAAGAUCAUACAUUCUUUUUCACUGCUGGCCUGAUGUUGAGAGAUCCUACUUGAUACUGACAGAACCACGUGACAUAGGAACAUAGCGUCUUUGUUUGCGAGGUUUCAUUUUAAGAUGGUCCAAAGCUCCUGCUGGUUGGUACUAAGGUCUCCUAUGGAUGGGGCAAUGAUGGUUCUGGAUGUGCGUCAUGUGAAGUUUACAGUUGCGUGAUCUUCAAUCAUCGAUGCAUAGACUGUGUUUGACUACCCAAUCAUUCGAAAGUCUGUCCUUUCGAGGCUGUUGAGCACAAACAGAAAUCUUCGGACGAAAGUUUCUGCGCAUCCAAAUAUCGCUUGCUUCUACAUGUGACAAAUUAGAACCUUUGUAUGGAUGGGUUGAGUCAAGCUUUCAAAUGGAGCAGGGUUAAGAAAGUGCUGGUUUUGUAAUUAGUAGGCAGGACUCAGGUGUAAGUCAAGUAUUUGUGUCUUUCUAAUCCUUCAACAACCUCUUGGCGAUAUGACACAAAUGGUGUCUUGUUAAGUAGACUGAAGUACGGAUUAAGUUAUGUUAACGAUGUUGCUGUCAUCCACAGGCGCUGCUGCUGCGGGGCUACUUGUAAUCCACUGGUUCUCGUGCUCGAUUACUCCUCCCCAAACCUCUCGACCUUCAGCGGCUCCCCUGUCAAUGGCCUUCAAUGCCUGUGCUUCCCACCCUCGAAGAUUAUAACGACGAUUGAAUGAUGAUUUUAACAAACCUCAAAGUUGACGACAGCUCAGCGCCUGUUUCGUUUUUUUCUCUCUCUCUUUCUUUCUUUCUUUCUUUCUUUCUUUCUUAUCCUUUUUUUUUUUUUUUUUUUUUUUUUUUUUAAAUGGUGGCUCACUGGGUGUAUAUUGUGAUCAGGAUGCUUAAUCGAUUCUUACAAAUGAUUCACCCGCGAUCUAGUGGGCGUUUCCAUGACUAAGUUGCAAAGCACUCACAAGCCACAUAUCUGCUGAUGGUCGGUGAAGUCAUGGGAAGUUGAAGAUGCAUUCAGUUCUUCCAUCUAUGCGCUUCCAUGAACUUACUCACACCUAUUACAUGACUCUUUACAUAAAAAUACUAUUGAGUACUUCCGGUGUGCUCCGCAUUCUCAUAGUAAGUAUGAAAUGAAGAAACAAUCCGAUUUGCCAAGCGCCCUUCUGCUGUUCGGUGUGGACAGCGAAUUGGUGAUGACUUUGUACAACUCAAAUUGGAAAGAAGGUAAUAUCCGUUCCAAGACUUCGGUUUUAUCCGAACAUGAUUCCAAGCAUUACUCCUUGUGAUGGAAUGCCUCUCACUGUAACAAGAAGCAGCAACAGAAACGCUCCACCUUGAACAUGUCCGAAAAGCCCACGCCAUCAAAACCUAAUUUGGAGCCUCAAGCCCUACUUGUCCUUGCUCAAUGGUGGGUCCUUUCCUUUCGUCAGUUGUUGAUUUGUCUUUUUCUUCUUCUUUUCAAAGUGGUACUGAAGUGACGUGGUCGUUUGGUUUAUUCUUUACUUUUAAGUUAGCUGAUGACGCAGAACAAUACUUUGCUUUCCUCUUUCACCUCCUUUCCUGGUUGGGGCAUCCGUGGAAAAAAUAGUUUGUUAAGAAGCAUGUCCACCGCGUCCUCAGAGCUGUCCAAUCAACGGGUGUGACACAAAUCCGCCAACCUCACACCCAUGUGUGGGAGUUGAACUUGUCAUCCCCAUCCAGGCGAGGACUAUCAUGUCCAGUGGUUUUUUCCCCCACUGCACACCUAAAAUACCAUACAUCACACAUGCUUCGUAAUUUCCUGCCGACCAUUUCCUCACCAGUGUCUGCUUGUCACUGUUGCAUAAACGUGCCGCCCGAUUCCAACCAUCACACACGCACACAUACUCACAUGUAGGGGGAGAGAAAAACUUGUUCAGUACCCAACAACGGGUCAUCCUGACCUCCCAAGCGCCAGCGACCUCACAAUCGUCCAGCUGGUCCCAGACUUGGCCACCAAGCAAGCUCAGCGUUCGGCAUUGACAAGGUCUCAGUUUGUGCCACUGUAGAACCCGUCGCAUGCGUCCCUGCAGCCCAGGUCAGGGUCGUUAGAAAGCAAGUGCUGGGGGCGUCGGAGCGGCGGAGAAUAGUUCUCCUGGGCAUGCAAAUGAGGCAAGCAAUCAAGCUGAAUGUCCACCCAGAUUCCAGCCCAUACCUCCGCCAUCGCCAUCCUGCCACACAGAGAGGGCCACAGAGCUAGAAGCCAGAAACCAGGAGGGGGGAGGGAGGGGAACCUUAUCUCGAUCAUUUAUUUGUAAUGUAUGUAUGUAUGUAUGUUUCUAACUUUAGUUUACUGGAGUUUGGAAACUAGGGCUUGUUAUGUUAUUCUGCUUGAUUUUUAUGUACAGUUAUUUUUCUCUGAAAUCCUAUACCCAGGUACUCAACUUACAACGUGUUGAUUUUUUCCUCUCUAUGUGUAUAUGUAUGUGUUCGUGUAUUUUUUGGAAUACAUAUUCAACCUUAUUAUUGUUUAAAAAGUCUAGUGCAUAGAUUUUGAACUUCGUACUGUUGAUUUGUUUUGUUUUGUUUUUGUUUUUUCUUGGAAGUUGAUAACAGUUCAUGUGUUUUGCCCUUGUAUUGAUAUUUAAGUGGUGAUGGAAAGAGAUAGAGACAUAGAAUAACUAUUUUGAUAAAUUUAACGAAAAAAUAUUGGUUGGGACAAGUGGAGUAGGUGCCACGUUUCAAUGUACUGGAAGAGUUGGAAUUGAAUUGUUGUGCUCUGAUGGACUUGAACACAAUUCACCUCUCCUUGGAAUACAUAUAAUGUUUUUAAAAACAUGAGCAUCAUUUUUUAAGUAUUUUGUCCACAGUUCAAUGUUUUUAUUCCUUAAUUUAUUCUAUUUAGGAAAAAAAAUUGAAUUUUGUUUGAAAGUCCAAACAUGUUUUAUCAUAACGCAUUCAAUAAUACCAAUGACUUUGGCUUUUUUUAAUAUAAUUUUCUUUUCUUUUCUUAUUUUUAAAUUUAGAUUUAACUUGUAGAUGCAUUUGACUUGUGAGAAAUUAUAUAUAUAUAUAUAUAUAUAUAUAUAAUAAAUCCUAUGAUAUGAUCCCUCUUUAGAAUGCAAAAGAUCUUUUGAAGAAAAAGACUAGUAACUUAUUUUUGCUUUAAAAAAGAAAAAUGUAAUCAUGAAGAAUUUAUAUUAACUCCAAAUUGUGCAAUUCAUGUACACAAAACUAAUUGAUUGUGUAUACAACUAAUCAAUUUCAAACAAAAAAGAUAUCACAUCUCAUUAAUAAUGUUGGUUUUUAUUAUAUUCCAUGUAAGUUGUUUAAUUAUAUAUCCCCUAAAUACCUAGUCAUUAGAUGUGUAUUAUUUGAAAUGUAUUAUUUUAGUUUUUCCAAUGUUGUUAAUGUUUUACAUGGCAAGUAUGAGAAUUGGUAUGUGACACAUUCAAGAUUAGGGUGUAAUCCCAUUAUGGACUUAGGUUUGUGUUACGAGAGGGUUUAGGAUCUCACAAUGAUUUUGUGAAAGUAUAUGGUUUGUGGCAUAUGCAAAUGGGAGUUGUGGGUGUGUGGAUUAGUGGCGGCAGAGAUGGUGCAACGUGUUUGGAUAGAUGUUGUGGUGGAUUGUUUGCAUGGAUCUUAUGAAGAUAGUUUGUGGCAAUUGAUGAGCAAUGUAUGAAAUUAAGAAGCUCCAAUAACAAGAUGUUUUGGAUGGACAAGACAAUGGUGUUCAAGUUGUGUUGAAUAUGAAGUUACUUCGGAAGAAACUUGUGAUACAAUUCAAAAGAUUACAUUACCAUCUAAUUAAAGAGAUAGAGUACAAAGAAAUAAGAAACUAUGAGUAUGACAUAAAAUGUUGUAGCCAGAGACUACAAAAGAUAUCAUGUGCUAGAGAUAGUCAGGAUCAUAUCCAUGUCUAAUUACUUCCACAAAGUUCAAAUCCAUAAGUAGAAAGGAGUACUUCCAACUACCAAAAUGAACCUUCUUUAUUAUUCAUAUCCUCUAACUAAUGCUCAAACUAAAUCAUUCAGCAUAGAGUUCUUAUCAUUUCUUAUAAAGAACUAAAAUUUCUAUUACAAUAGAACUAUAGUGCCUCAUUUGCUACAAAUCAAGUCAAUCUCAUUCACUCAACCAAUUAAACUAGUUCCAUAGUCCAAGAAACAAAGAAAUUGUGACAUGUAAGAACAAAAUCCUAUUAGUAAACUCAUGCCAUGUGCCAAAUGUGUUCAAAAUCAAUUUUGGUUAUAUUAAUGAAGUUCUUUGUAGUAGUGGUUAUAUAUUGAAUUAAUUGGUAUACAAAUAAAAACAUAUUGAGUGAAUAUUAUGAUUUUUUUUGGAAUUAGUGGACAAAUUAAAUUACUUACCGUUAUAAUUAUAAUAAUACUAUUAUUGCUAAAAAUAUUGAGUUGUGAAAUGAUCACAAGUAUUUUAAGAUUGCUUAAUGUUGCAAAAAUCAAGAAAAUUAAUGGUGUUUUUGUAAAUUGUAGAUAUUGCAAAUGUAUCAUAUAUCAUUUAGCAUUAAAAUCUAUAACAAAAGAAAAAAAAUCAUUAAAAAUAAUAAUUAUAUCAAUCCAAUUAUCUAAUUCUUUGCACCCAUUUAUAGCAAGUUGUUAAAUUAUGGUUAGAUAAUGGAUAUCAAAGGAUUAUCAGUUACAAUUGUAUUAAUGAUAAUUUGAAUAAGUAAAGAUAUAAAUCUUUUUAUAUUUACUAGCUAAUAUAUUUAAUAAUAUAAAAUACUGUUUUAUUAUAUUUUAAAUUUAAAAAACUAUUCAGUUGUAUUUGUAUUUUUUGAUGUUAAUAUAUAUAUAUAUAUAUAUAUAUAUAUAUAUAUUUCUAGGGCUGAUACUUUUAUUUUUUAUUAUCUAUUUUAUUAUACAUUAAAAUGAAAAAAUUUAGCUUUUUAAAAAUACUUUGAAUUUCUUUCAAUUUUAAAUGCUUCAAAUUCUACUUGUGACUUGCAUUCAUCAUUUUGAAACAAGUAAUAAUCAGUUCACAAUAAUUAUGUUACUUAAUUUAAUUAUGAUUUAUACAUUGUACUAUAAAAUAGAAAGAAAGAAAAAAAAUCAAAAUUAUUUAAAUGUAAAUUAAUAAUUUUAUAGAAUUUUUUACUAAAAUAAUUUUAAAAUGGCUAAAAUAAAUACUUGGAUAAAUUUAUAAAUUUAAUUCAAUACUUAUUGGGUAAUGAUUUAGUUUUCUUUCAUUUGUUUAGAAUAUAUGAAAAUAUAUUUGCCAAUAAUUCAUCAUGUUUACAUCAAUAAAUCAUAAAUAAUUGAGUAUAUAUAUAUAUAUAUAUAUAUAUAUAUAUAAUUUUAAAAAUUCAAAUAUAAGACCUUUUUAAUUUUGAUAAAUUAAAAAUAAAAUAUAUUAGUAUCUUUGCCAUGAAUUACAAAUGAUUCUAUUGUUAUGUAUAUAUUCUCUUUCUUUUCUUUUCUUUUUAUAGUUUUUAUAGUUUAGUUUAGUUUAGUUUUUUUUUUUUAAUCAACAAUUCUUUAUGAGUGGUCAAAUUUUGAUUUAGCAACUAUAAAUUAUACUUUUACAGCUUUUUUGUAGCCAAGGGCACAGAUUUCCAGUAUAUAUAUAUAUAUAUAUAUAUAAUGAAAAUAUAUGUUUUUAUUAUUACUACUAUUUGACUAGUUGAUACAAGUGGUUAUAUAACCAUUUGAGAAGCUAUUAAUACUUGGCAUAUUUAUUCUUAAUAAUAUCAUAUUAUAUUAUUUAAUAAAAAUAUAAAUAUUAUUUUCUUGAUUUUAUGAAAAAAUAUUUGGUUUUCAAAUGUUCACAUUUUGAUGCACUAUGAGCUAAUAAUUAUAAAGUAAAUAUUCUUAUUUUAUGUAUUGUGCUCAUAAUUUGAUCAAAAAUUUGCAUUCAUUCCUAAUUCUAUUAAAUGAUCAAAUACUUAAUGAAUUACUUGAUACAAAAAUAGUACUAAAUAUCAUGUGAGAAAAAAGAGAUUAUUGUGUGUUUAUCAAUACUUCUACACCAUGCUAAGUAUACAAGUGUUUAUCAAAACACAUGCAAUAUCAAUUAUAAAGAAAGAAAAUAAUACAAAUACACAACUUGGAUUUACAUAUGUGUGUAUGUAUGUGUGUGUAUAUAUAUAUAUAUAUAUAUAUAUAUAUAAUGGAAUGUUAAAUAGACCCAAGUUUUUAUUAAAUCAACCUAUCCAUGAUGAAUGUGGUUGGUUUUUAUUGGUUUUUUUAUCUAGUGGUGAAAUUAAUCUAGAGGUCAUUUGUUUUCAUGAUAGUUAGGACAGAUGGAUCAUUUUGGUAAAAGCGUGGGUCUAUUUAACAUUCUCCUAUAUUUAUGCCUACCCAAUUUAUUCCAUAACAUUUAUGCACAACCUAUUUAAUCCAAUGAUAAGAAAAUUCAGAAUAGAAUCGAGAAAGUAAAAGUGACAAAACAUUAAGCACGUGGUAAGAACUCAAAAAGUAAAAGUGGACCAAAAACAUUAAUCGCAUAUCGAGGGGACAUGACAGCUGACACGUGGCGGUGCGGUUUCGCGGGGUGCCUAACUGGGCAGGUGUCGUCCCGACCGCGCGGUUCGCACCGUUUGGAUCGCCGAUCUUGUGGUAGUUAAGCGCGGUUGGCAAUAAAAGGGAUGCCCGUGUGGAAGGGCCUCUACAAGAGGAGUGUUUGUGCAGCGAAAGGAUCCUCCUCCUCCUUCAGCCUCUCGCAGGUUGGAAUUCAGCUGUCCAGGCCCUCGUCCUUCACUUCUCCUCCUCCGCACCCUCUCGCCACCAUCACCGGGUAUGCAUGCUCUUGUUCUACUACUCUUGGGUCUCUUUUCAUCCUUCUUUCCAACACACCCCAAUUCACAGUGUUCUGUUAUUUUGAUCUAGCACCCGGUCAACCACUGGUAGAAGGCUUUUUGGUGAUUCGUGGUGUGAAGGGGGUGCUUGAUGGCUAAUUUCCGUUUCGGAUCCUUCGUUUAGUUUGCAAGGAUUAGCAUCAGAAAUGUUUUGGUACUGAGUUCUAGGGUUUUGAUCUAAUUGCUUAUUGUGUUUUGACUCGUAGUAAGUGACUUGGUGUUUCGAGCUUUUCCUUAAUUUUAAGAAUCUGUGUUCUAAGAGUGACAACCGCUACGAGAAGCGUGUGAUUUAUACCUUAAACUCGAAGAGUUUUUGCAGGUAAUCGAAGAUGGGUAAGGAGAAGGUUCACAUCAACAUUGUGGUCAUCGGCCAUGUCGACUCCGGCAAGUCUACGACCACAGGCCACCUGAUCUACAAGCUGGGAGGGAUCGACAAGCGUGUGAUCGAGCGCUUUGAGAAGGAGGCGGCUGAGAUGAACAAGCGUUCGUUCAAGUACGCGUGGGUGCUGGACAAGCUGAAGGCUGAGCGCGAGCGUGGUAUCACGAUCGAUAUUGCGCUGUGGAAGUUCGAGACCGUGAAGUACUACUGCACUGUGAUCGACGCUCCCGGACAUCGCGAUUUCAUCAAGAACAUGAUUACGGGAACGUCGCAGGCGGACUGCGCAGUGCUGAUCAUCGACUCCACCACCGGAGGAUUCGAGGCUGGUAUCUCCAAGGAUGGGCAGACCCGUGAGCACGCACUGUUGGCUUUCACCUUGGGAGUGAAGCAGAUGAUCUGCUGCUGUAACAAGGUGGGGGGAGUUUGAGAUUGUGUGGAGGCACGUGAUAUGUUGAUGUUUCUUUUUUAUGCAGCGUAAGGGUGUUAGAAAUCGAUUGAGGGAUUGAACAUGUGUUUGGGUGACGAGCGAUGUGGGGUGGAGUGGUUCGGUGGAAUGACAGCCUUGGUGGUGGCAGAUGGACGCGACGACGCCGAAGUAUAGCAAGGCUCGAUUCGAUGAGAUCAGCAAGGAGGUGUCGACGUACCUCAAGAAGGUGGGGUACAACCCGGACAAGAUUCCGUUCGUGCCCAUUUCAGGGUUCGAGGGUGACAACAUGAUCGAGCGAUCGACGAACUUGGAAUGGUACAAGGGUCCGACGCUUCUGGAGGCCCUGGACAACGUGUCAGAGCCGAAGAGGCCAUCUGACAAGCCCCUGCGGUUGCCCCUCCAGGAUGUCUACAAGAUCGGAGGUAUUGGAACUGUGCCAGUGGGACGUGUGGAGACUGGAAUCAUCAAGCCGGGUAUGUUAGUUACCUUCGCACCCACUGGACUGACGACUGAGGUGAAGUCGGUGGAGAUGCACCACGAGUCGUUGUUGGAGGCGCACCCCGGAGACAACGUCGGGUUCAAUGUGAAGAACGUGGCUGUGAAGGACCUGAAGAGAGGAUACGUGGCUUCGGACUCGAAGAACGAUCCUGCAAAGGAGGCCGCCAACUUCACUGCCCAGGUUAUCAUCAUGAACCACCCGGGACAGAUCGGAAACGGUUACGCGCCGGUGCUGGACUGUCACACUUCUCACAUUGCCGUGAAGUUUGCCGAGAUCUUGACGAAGGUGGACAGGCGAUCGGGUAAGGAGCUGGAGAAGGAGCCCAAGUUUUUGAAGAACGGAGACGCAGGAUUCGUGAAGAUGGUACCGACAAAGGCAAUGACUGUGGAGACUUUUGCACAGUACCCACCAUUGGGACGCUUCGCGGUUAGGGACAUGAGGCAGACGGUGGCUGUGGGUGUUAUCAAGGCGGUAGAGAAGAAAGAACCGUCUGGAGCGAAGGUUACUAAGGCCGCUGCCAAGAAGAAGUGAAUAUUGCUGGAGACGAGCGGGGUGAAGCAGUUAGGGGCUGACCGGGUCAGGGUUGGGUUUGGUGUUGCGGCAUUGUUUUGGAGGGUGCGGUUAUUGUUUUGCCUGUGUGCUUGUUCAAUAUACUUGCUGCAGGCGAGGGAGAAGCAGAGGCAGACUUGGGUACUGGACAGAAGAUGGCAGGGCUCGUCGGAUCCGCGACAGUGAAUGUUAUAUUUAUACGUGAAUAAAGUACUUUAUGUGGCCUCGACAUUGGGGUGGACAUAAAGCUAGUGAUGGUGUCUUUGGAAAGGACGUUGUGCUGGUGGUAUGGUUAGUGUUAUAUGUAUGUGAGGGUGCAACGAAGCCAUUACGUCAAGGAGAAAUUUUGAAUUCUCGUCUGAGCUGUUUAAGUGCACUUCACAUGGAUUUGGGAAGGGCAACAAGUUAUUCGGAUUACAUAAUGUGAACUGGAAUUUCUAGUUUUGCACUUUAUAACAAGUGUUACAAAGCAUGUUGAAUUGAUGUGUAUUAGAAUAUCCAUUCUUUGGAUUAUUUUAUAAUUCUUGCUGCAAUGCCUUAACAAUGUGUCAAUAUAGGUGAUGAGUUGAUACCAUUUGUUACCGGAACGUGGCGUCGCUUUGAACAUUCAGAAGAAUUUUGGUUGCUGGUAAUGUGGCUCAGAACCUGCGAGAUAAUAUUUGGAUUUACUUUCCGGUUGAAUGCGUGCAAACAUGUUGCAUAAGUAAUGUUUGUAGUUAUCAUCUUAUGUACGGACCCAUCGUUUUGUGAUAAGUAGCAUAUUAUAUACAAUCUGUCUUGUCAUUUUAUCUGAAGAUGCAACAAUCCUUGUCAAUCUAAAAGCACUCAGCUUAUAUUAAUAUCAAUUUUCAGUUUACAGACAUUGCAUAGAAUGAAAAUUUCAUUUCAAGAGGAGCUCAAUUUCCUCACAUUCUGUUUACUGUUUGAGAUAUGGAGGAUUCAAUGCAAUGGGAAAAGCCCAGCAAUGCAUUAUUCAUCAAUAGUGGCUUAAUUUGUAAGCAGUCUGCUGACACAGAUAUCAACAGUGGAGAAAUUAGAUGUGAACGCAGCUACGUUUUAUAUUUUUUUGUCUUAUGUACAGAUAAGAAUUGAAUCUGCUACUUCGCCCUCAUGACACAUCAUUGGCAUAAGAGAUGUACUAUCAUUCUAAAACCUUUCUCUAGUUAUUACAUUCCACAUCUGGUUAAAUCCCUGCAACUCCUCACUGACAAUCGUUACCUAGAAUAGAAAGGACACAAUUCUGUUGUGUCUCUAUCAGUCACAGGGAUCAGGGUAGUAAUUAUAGGAGGUUGCGACUGAUCCCUGGCACAUUUUAGUAGCCCAAAAUACUCUUUGGGAGUUUCACUAAAGCUUCAACAUCUGCAGGUUCACCUGAAAACUUCCGAGCAAAUAAAAAGCAGGGUGAACUAGGUCGUCCGUUGUAUAUACACGUUUGCAUGGUGUGAUUUAAGUCGUCAGACGAGUCCAUAUAUUGCCCAUCCCUGUUUUCUGUCCUGUUCUGAAUCUUCCGGAACAGCUCGAGGUUUAUAUGCGAGACAUUGUGCUUCAAAGGGGAGUCCCCGUGUUUGGGAUUGGACCAGUCUGCGUAAGUGACUGACCGAUUGGCGAUUCCCUGCACGCGCUCCAAGUGCACAAAUUAAUCAUGCUCCUCAUCUGCCUUGAUGUUAAAAUUAUGAAUCAAGACAUGUAAAUUCCAAAUUUCUUAUUGAACGAAUUACUACACAUUGGUCUACUCCUAUGAAAUUUUUUGUAGAAAAAAUUGAUUGUACACACUAACCCAGAAAGAUUUGCACCAGCGUAGGUCAAAUUCCUUCUGGUGACUUGAGCCUGAUAUAAACCUCCAGGCCAUGUUGAGUUUGCUAAUUUUGAUUGUUUACACAAUGCACACCCAAUUAUAAAUUGACAGUUAUUCAUGUAGAAAGUGAUCAGAAAGAGCCAAGAGAUAGAUCGAGGGCUCCCCACUAAGACAUUGUGGCAAUCAAGCAGUCGCCUUGAAAGCAAAUUCUAAUUCCACGCGGUAUAACCUUUGCGAAGUACCAAACUCGUCACCACAUGCUUCCCAAAGCAAUGUUGCCGCUACGUACGGUAAAUUCCUUCAGUUUAGCAUACGAAUCUAGCAAUCUCUAAGGCGAAAGAGAUAUCAACUGAAAGCAACGUCAUCGCCGACAUAUAAACCUCAUGACAUUCGCAACUGCUGACUCAUCCAGCACUGAAGUUAUGUGCUGGAUUGUACUUAUGAUAUUUAGGGCUAUAUCUGGAAGUGCAAGCUACUACUAGGACAAUUUUGUCACAUGAAGUUCUGAUGCUCAAGUGCAGAACCAUGUUAGGACGAAUCAUGUAAUUCGAGCACCAUAUCUACAAGAACACACCAUUCUCCUGAAAGUAAUUCCAACGUGAAUGCGGCUUCUAUUUACUACGAUCUGUGGCUAUAUCCAGACUUAACCCAAUCCCCACUUACUACACUCUGACAAAUUCAAGUACUUCUCUCAUCACAUCGCGUGGACUCUGUUCCCCUUCUUAUUGCAGACUCGGACUUUCAUUCAUAUUGAUCCUUUAUCAUUAACUGAAAUGAAUUAGACAUGAAGUGGUUGGAAGCAAUUCAGAGACUGUAAAAAAUACAUCAAAUCACAGCAUGAGGCAUUCAGAUUUGUAAUUCCCUCACCUUGGGAUCCAAGAUAUGGAGCAGAGUCUGUACAUACUCCUCAUCAAGGACGCAGUCGUCACGGCAAUCGGCUUUGAAUUUGCGGUAAAAUGUGACAUCACCGACCACCAUUCCGGCAUGGCGGCGGUGCAUGGACACCCAUAGCUCACCCUUGUGAAGCUGCUCCAAUUUGAACAGGGGCUCCGUGUGCCACCGCUUGAACCUACAACAAUUCAAUCAAGGCAAAAACUCAGUUACGUGGAGAGAUCAGUAAAAUCAAACUCCAAUGCAUUCUAAAUGAGAUUCUUUCAAGCUGAGGCUUAUGGAAUGAUCGGAUCAAAGAGAUCAACCUCUUCAGUGGAGAAUAGGAUUCGACGAAGCUCGUGGUGGAGUUCAUGAAAUAGUCGUAAACGUAAGGAAAGCUCCGAACUGGCAUGCACGCCUCAGAGACUAGCAUGAACCACAUAUUAGCUCUGCCUGUGUCCAACAAGGCAAAUGCCAGCAAUCUGCGGACAACGUCUACAAGAGUAAUAUCGAAGCGCUUUACUUCCUUGGUUGAAAUGGAUCUGUUGUGGAAGACGGACGAGUUCGGAAACUGGUUAACCCACCAGCUCGCGUGAGUAUAUAUAGAGUAGGAAUCAUUAUCCGCUCCCGCAAAGAAUCGCUCCCACAGAGGCUCAAGUGGGAUCUCCUUCCGAAGGAUGAAUAGGAAUGCAAUUUUGGGUUUUCCAUCUGGUAGAGGAUUGGUCGCAGCGUCUUGAGCAGCAUGGAGAAGCUCCGAAUCCUCAACCGAUACUUUGAAAUACUUGUCGACAUCUAAAUCAUGAGUGCUGCUUCCUGGUUUCACGUAAUCUUUGCAGGGGAGGUAAGAAUUGGGAAACGUCGAUUCUGGUAACCUAGAAGUGGGGUCAGUCGACACAACCCUGGGGUGAGUACAAUUUUGACAAUCCGCUGAGGCUUGUGGGGAGAGCCGACCGAUAGUGAAUUCGGCGGGAAUGGGACUCGGCUGCGAGUCGAUCAAGAACUUGAAAAACAUGAAGGAGCCUAGUAUUAGGACCACAAUGCCCCCCCGGGUGAGCCACACAUCUUGCUGGGACUUCAGAAACCCCAGACGGCCGGAGUUUGAUGGACUAAGCACGUUUGUCAUCGUCGACGAAUACACUCCUCGUCUCGGGAGGAUCUGGACGGGCAAAAUUUCUCUAGACACUACGCAUCUUACACUUCAUAUGAAGCUAGAAAAAGUUCCUGCAUCGACAAAAACAUAUAAAGAAGUAGGCAGCCUCACAAUUUAUUCUCCUCCCAGAACGGACUCAACUGAGUGAAAUUCCAUGAAGACUCACGAUACAACCCAUUCAUUGUCCGAGCUUCGAAGAAGUAGAAAGGUCCUGGCCCUCGUUUUUUUACGCAGGCGAAGGGCAAAAUUCAGAGAAAGAUAGGAGGGCAACAAGAAUUAGAGGAACGAAGAGGAAAACAUCGCUCGAAAGUAGUACUUCCAGUAGUCAUAUGAUUUCAGAUCGCAUCAGAAAGUGAUCACAAACUGGGUUGAUAGCUUGGCCAGUUGUAAUGCUGACAAUCAAACAGAUUUGAAUUGAAGAGUGUCAGUCACUCCGACUACAUGGACUGCGUUUGCCGCACCCUACCGCUUGUCAACGCAAGCAGUCCUCUACAGCUCAUUUUUGCAAAGCUCAUCCUGGAAACAAUCCAACCACUUGAUAUAACCUACGCUUAAGAGACAGGGAUCCAGAUACCGCGUUACAUCGAAAAAGGGUAGGAAUAUAAAUCUCAUUUACAACAGUGACUAGCACUGAUUGCAGACCAAGGCGACUUCGACCACAAGCCUUUGUCCAGUGCACCAACAAAGUGUCCCGUGACAUGUACAGACUGGACGGGUUCUCACAGGAUGAUACGGAAAACAGCUUCCUCAGCCUCCCUCAGAUGAGCCACCUUCAGAAGUGAAGUGAUUUGCGUAAUCUAGGAAAUGCUCCAUGCUUGAGAGAAAGUUCUCAUUAUGAUCCCAGAAAGAAUUUCUUUUGAAAAAUUCGUGUGACAAAUGGCGUACUACUCAGUUGACCGUCAAAAGCCACGCAGAUGACUGCCAAAUCAUUACCACACGAAUUGAAAACUCUCAAACGAGCGGUGUUGCAGGCAGUUGCAGAACACCACGGGCUGUGGGCACCCACCAGCUCGAUGAUCACACUGCAUCGACCAGACACUAGCUCUACGGACAAAAGAAAACCCAGACCUCCUGGUGCACCUCGAACGACACAAGCCAAAGUCAGGAUUCUCCCUCAAUAAUUCUUCCUUCCAUUAGCUUUAGAAGGCCACGACCAAGACAGGCAGACACGAGAAGGGCUAUCGUGGCGGUAAUAAAACCAAAAGUGUCUGGUGCCGAAGGAAAAAAACAAAACUCUUUGAGAGUGAUGACGUGAGCUGAUGCAUCUAAACAUUUGCACUCUACAUCUGCGGUCCAAAAAGCAGCAGUCAUUCUUUCCCCGUGUGCAUGGGACGCUGACCUAAAUAUAUAAAAAAUAAAAAACCACGGCUUGCAGGUUAUCGGUCCUUUACGCAUUGUUUGGCUCAUGUCCCACCCGCUUUGUUCUCUCGUCCCCAGCUGCGACGUCAUCAACCUAGUAGUGGACAGACCCUGUGGUGACCCAGUCCCAGCGAUGACCAGCUCAUGGUGAGCGGCCAAGUCAAGGUGAGUGUGCCUAUGUGUGCCUUAAAAAUACGGUGAUUAGAACUGACUUGACUCCUGCCCUCGGCCUCAAACUGCGAGGCACUUGUCACUAGGCAUCCUCAAACUCACCACCAUUGUCCUGUUCUUGUCCUACACACCCACACACUCACUCACUCACACACCCACACACUCACUCACACACCCACACACACACUCACCCCCACAAACACACACAUACACAUAUACACUGGGUGUUGUGGAUGGUCAGCUGUAGACUCACGGAUCCAACUUCAUAGCGAUCUAGGCGCAGCAUUACCUAAGGUGGGUACUCUUCUGCUUCUUCGACGCAAGAUGAGGAUGCAGAUCUGAGCACUGAGGCGGCGAUUGAAACGAGACGUUGUGGAGAAACGCACAACGGCGAAGCUUGUGCUUGCAAAGGCAACAGGGCUGUGGCGGUGGCACCAGGAGCUGCGUGUUUGUGGUCUGCAGACGAAUGUGAUGCUUUCUUACAUGGGUGGUUUUGUAUAGACCUUGUGGUUGAGUGCGUAAAAUAUACUAAACAAAUCAACAACAUGCAAUGUCUCUAUGACUGUGUGUGGAAAUGUAUGUGCAUAUAUAUAUAUAUAUAUAUAUACACACAUGGUGAGUAGAAUUUUUUACCAGUGUUUACUUUUAAUACUUCUAACAAAAGAGUUGGAAGAUUUAUUUUUAUUUUUUUGGAGCAGUUUAGUGCUGCAAUGAUCUUGAUGAAUAUAACCUGAUGCACUGUAAAGUGCAACUGCAGUUUAUGCCACUCAAAUAAGCAAAAAAUAGAAACAGAAAUAAAUAAACAAACAAACAAAAAGGUAUUACGUUUUGUGUAAACUAAUUGAAUGUUUAAGAACAAUAUUAGUUUAAAGCACAGCACUCCAUAAAUAAAUAUCACAUAAAAUUAAUACAGUAAGGAAUAAUAUAAUUAUCUGAAAAAUGUAUAUUUCUUGAUACCCAACAAAAGAAUAGUGUAGAUCAAAUUGUUUUUAGUUUAUUAAACUUUUUAGAACACAUUUUAUGCUAAAUAAGAACAUUUUUAUCUUUGUAUGUAUGUAUGCAUGCAAUAUAUUUUACAUGAGAAAUGUCAAUACUAACGAUUAAUCAAUAAACUUUUAAAAAUUAUUGUUUAAUUAAAGUAGGAUACUUUUGUCAUUUUCAAUGCCCAUUGUUGUUUCAUAAAGCAAAUUGUGGUUGGACAAUCUUCAUCCCUUACAGUGUGAUUUUGUAAAUAAUAUAAGAUGCAUCUCAAAUGCACCACUAAGAUUAGCUAAUAAAUAAAACUAAAAUAUUCUUUUGAUUUUGCAUUACUUUGCUUUGGUUGAAUCAAACAAUUCUCAAUUCCAAUUCUUGGACUUGUUUGCUUGACAUUAUAUGGAUGUUUAUCGCUCAAUUACAAAACCCAAUAUUUUAUUUAUUUUACGUGAAUGGUUCAAAAUGAUUCCACACGGGCUACUGAUUAGCUCUCAAAGAAGCAAAGACUCCUUUUGCAGGACCUGUUGCAUUGUUUACUCUAAUAAAGGUGGUUAAUGAACAAUAUUUUCUACCAAAUUUGUGAAAAAUAAUAAUUGAAAGAGGUUAUUUUAAUAUGUAUAAAUUAUUGGCUUCACCAACCUUCUAAAUAUUUGUUUAAAUCCACAAAAAAAUGAAAUCGUUGUAGGCAUCUAUAAUGAUUUGCAUAUAGAAAUUUGAUGCGAUUGUAGAAUGAGAUGAGAUUCUCUCAAGAGUGAAACCGUAUGGAAAUUGUGAUAGUUUCAGGUUUAAAUAUUUUUAUGAUAUUGUAAGAACACAGGGCGUCGAAAUUGCUUGAAACCAGUCAUGUUCAAACUUAGUAGAGGACAAUGGUAUUAACUCCUUUGAUUCUCCAAUUUAAAGCAUUUGUUUCUGUUAAAAUUUGAAUGCUUCAAAGAUAGAUUUUCAUACACUUUAGGCCUACCAUCCAAAAACAACUAUAAUUCUAAUAAAUAACUAAACACAGAUAAACAGAGAAAUCAAUUUGAAAUCAAAAUCAAAUUUUCUAAACAAAAUUUUAUUUGUGUAAUGAGAAGAUACUAGAAUGAAACAUUUAUGGAGCGUUUAGAAUGGUACGCUGUGAUUCGUUAAUAAAGGAGCAAGUUGAUUCUGUUCAGUAUAUAAAAGUACACUACAGUAAAUAAAUAAACUAUCUCAUUCCCUCUAUAUUUGAUUAUUUAUUUAUAGUUAUGCAUCUGUGCGUAUAUAAAUAUAUAUAUAUAUAUAUAUAUAUAACUAUUCUUUGAGUGGCUUUGAAUCAUUUGAAGAAAAAUUUAGUCUCUGCAUGGUAUACUUUAUAGAUACAUAUAUAUAUAUAUAUAUAUAUAUAUACAUACUUGCAUGGAUGCAUGCAGAAUCUCCUGUAAAUUUGAUUUAAUAAAAAAUUAAAUCUUCAAAUAUCUUGAAUUAAAUUUUGUACGUUGUAUUUUCUCUACGAAUUAAAGUCACUCACAUAUUAUGAUUUUAUAUCCAAUUUUUUAAAUAUUGUGAGUUGUUACCAUAUUAUAUUAAUAUCAAAACCUGCACACAAUUCAAGUCAUCUAUUUUAAAUUUACAUUCACAUUCAAAAUACAGGUUGCACUGUUUCUUUGUAUUGACAUGGUUUUGUAUUAUAUUUCGUUCAUUAUUCUUGGUACCAUAUUUAUUUUCUUAGUCGUCCUUGAAACCGUAACCUUCAAAUAAGUUACUUUAUUUAGUAUUACAUCAUCGAUUUUCGCUUUUAGAUGGGGUUAAGAUCCAAAAGCCCACUUUAAAAGAUCCUGGUAUUAAAAUCUUGUGAAGAUCUGUUUCUUAGUGAAGAAAUUAUCCUGAAAAAAAGAUCUGGUCUUUGAAGUAAUAAAAUGUGAGAAUAGGCAAUCAAGUGGGUGGAAGAUAAACUAUUUUGAUUCAAAAAUCUUUCACAUUCUAUCUCAAUUUUAAGAAGUUUGAUGCUGUAAAUUCUUUUGAAGAUUUUGAGUGAUAAUAUGAAGCAGUCUUUCACAAAGCAUCUUAACUUUUUGUGGAUUACCACCUCCUGAAGUGGAACUAUGUGUGCAAAACUAGUCAUGCUAUGUGAGAGGAAUACAAAUUUCGCCUCAUCUCUUCCAUUUGUUACCUCCUGCUAGAUUUCCUUAAUAAAAAACAAGUUUAAAUAAAGAUAUUUUCGAUAUCAACAAUUUCAAACUUAGAAUACUGCUCUCCUAGACAUAGAGACAACGUAUAUAAACAGUUUUUAUUUACGUUCUUUAAAUAAUAUUCAUUUGUUCUGCUUCCAAAUCCCUCAGAAAGAACCCUCUCCCAUCUUACCAACUUCUUUCCUUAAAUGUUAGGCCACCGUUCAGGCCACUUUUUCGGAGCUCCUUGCGCCAUGAAUUACUCAUACGGCUUGUUGUAAAAUUGUGAAACAACUAGUUCUAGAUAGUUCUGGGUAAGUGGUCACAGUUUUGCAAUUGUACCCUAUUCUACUUAAGCCCCAGAACCUGUGCAACGGUAACAGAUUUGACAUGUCUCCUCAGAAUUAGUCUGUUUUGAAGCAUCCAAUAACUGUUAACGUAUGAUCAUAGUAGCCUUCCAAUCAAACAACACCUUUGCAAACGUUACCAAUCACACCUUCCCAUUCAGGUUUCAUAUGAUAUUUACAGGAUUCACCACGGGUAUUCAACCCACCAUUUCACAUCUAGAGCCUACAACUUUCAUUGCUAGAACGUUUUGUCUGAAUUUUAAUCCAAUUUGAAGACAUGCCGCAAAAAUACCCAAAAGUUCCACCUUCGUUGUGGGGUAUCGACAUGCCCUUAGUGGUCACGUAUCUUACAUUGACCAAACCUUUGCAUUCCCCACUUCCACAAACAGGGUACACAGAACAGUCCGAUGACUAAAAGUAGGAAAAAUAUAAGAUAGUUAACCCAUCCAUUCACAGAUCCUAAGAUUUUAAAUUCACAAGUACUACAUACACUAUCAUGGCCUACCAAUAGGCGUAACAUGCGAAGGUUACCACUGUAAACGAAAGAGGAGCCACUUCAGAAAACCUUUUAAUCAGUCACCACCGACUCUGGAUGCUAAUUAUUGCUCGAGGCAAAAAUUCAGUACACAAGAACUCAUCACACAGAACAUACAGCCUGCAAACUGAAACUCAUCCGCAAGUGUGACGGCCAUGAGGUAAGUCACUGAGAAUAUAGGGAAACACAACACACGCACACACACAUGAACACAAACAUGGGUGGCAAUUUCAUGGACUCUGUUCAGGUAAAAUAUCCAUAGCGUAAUCAGCCGUUUAAAAGAGCUCCUCAAAGCAUUGGUUGCCUCAGUACAAAUCACCUAUUUCUUAACUCCACUGCGCCACAGCAGAAAAUAUGAGCGCUCCGCGUUCCCAUUUAGCGGUACUGGAACACGGAACACAGUCGGGCAACAUCAACGCAUUGAAAUCAAAUAAUUAAAACGCCAAAAGAGUGCACGAUCUCACCGAAAAAUCGUUGUGUUCUGCAAACCCGCGAUAGAAAAUAACUCGUUCAAGAAAAACUGAACAAAAAGUAAUACCUUCACGAAUCCAAUGUCCUUGGAGUAGAUACGGAAGCACUGACGGCAAGUGUUGAUGCCGUACUUGCGAAUCAUUCCGCAUGAGUUCCCGCACACCCGGCUGCACACACAAAGGAAUCCCGCAAACUGUAUGAGUUUUCGCAGCAUGAUGUAAUUCACACUGCUAUCGACUCCAUCAGACAGUGCCCAAAGCGCGGACUUCUGACCGAUGAACGGGAUCAUUACAACGAGGAAAAAACAACUCAGUCACUCUCAAUAGUGUAUUUCUUUACAACCCACAAAUGGUUAUCGAGUCCAGUUGUAAAAUACCGAGCGAGAAUAUAAAAAGGUAUUGCACUUGGGCUUCACUACUUAGAAUGUCAUCAUGUAACCGGAUGCUCUCAAGGCAAUCAGAUACCACUGCACCAUGUAGGAGAGGCCAAAAAAGCAAUGCUACUUGGGCAACUAACCCUACAGUCUCAACCUAGAAUCCACCACAUCAUCAUCUUCACACAGUACUUUAGACGAGAGGCUGCGUACAUACAGGAAAUCGCCACACUAUACUGAGAUUAAUUAGCAACAGACUGCACUCGAACUCGCAGUUCAUACACGAAACCUAAACAAAAACAAGAAACAUCAUGCAACAACCAUCAACAACAGGGUUUCAACAUCUACAGCGCGACGGCAGACCACCUGCCUAUCACUAGAACAUAAUAGUCUUGAUGAAUCCUGCACUAAUCGAAUCCAACUGGACUUUACAAAAUCUUCACAAGCGCGACUAAACAUUGCAGGUAGCCCAUGAGGGCCGGCGGGCGCUGGAACGCAUCUAGACCAGUCUAAGGAUAAGAACGUCAAUCGUAUAAACAGCUGCGACUGCAAGCCCAGCUGAGGAGGUUGCACUGCGCCGUCAGCACUAACAUCGAAGCCGAUUACAAAAAACCGAAACCCUAAUUACCCGACCCCAGAAUCACGAAGCGCGGAUCUUAUUCAAAGCAGGCAUGCAGGACACCAAAGGGAAAACGAAAGAAGGACUGAAACCGUUACCAGGUGCGGGAGCCAGGGCCGUAGCCCUUAGGGUGCGAGUUCCACACCGCCUCGUGACCCAUGCUGGCAGAUGAUGCAAGCAGCGACAACAACAGAUGCGACGAAGCACAAGAGGCGAGGGCGAGGGCGACUAAGGCGCAAGGGGAGAGCGAGAGUGGGAGAGGAGGACCGAUGGUGCGUGCUCCUCGUUAUGGCCACCCUGCGAGAGUUAUGGCCAGCCUUGGAAUUAGGGCUAGGGUUACGAGAUGGACCAGUCCACUCUGGCGGUCCACUCUGGCGGUCCACUCUGGCAGUCCAAGCUGUCCGACGUUACAUGCCCUGCUGGCAUCUGCGAAUACGUCACCAUUUCGGGUUACUGCAAUGUAUGUGUGUACACAACGAUGAAGAAACAAACCAAAUAUAAUCAUUAAAAAGCAGUAAAUGUGAGCAAAGGUGUAUAUAUUGGAAAAGUCGAGUUGCAUUUGUUGUUUUGAUUUUUAUGUUUAAUACACAUAUGGUGCUCAUAGUUACAUUUUAAUAUAUAUAUAUAUAUAUAUAUAUAUAUAUAAUAAAAAAUUAAGUAUACAUCCAAAAAAAUCUAUGAAAAUAUAUAAUUUUGUAUAUUAUUUCACUUUUAACUACUAUAAAAAUAAUAAUGAAACAUUCUAUAUUGAAAUGGGUUUAAAAUAGUACUUCUUAUUCGCCAAUAUUGGUGAGUAUUCCAAGAAAGUUAUUUAUUGAAAGACAAUAUAUUACUAGCGGAUAAUAAUAAAAAUAAUCAACUCUUAAAAUGUAAUUAUAUAUAUAUAUAUAUAUAUAUAUAUAUAUAUAUAGAGAGAGAGAGAGAGAGAGAGAGAGAGAGAGAGAAAAAAAAAAAACUUCUUACUCUUCAAAAUAUCUAUUUUUGUAAUUCUAGUUAGUUCUCAAUUUUUUCUUCAAAUACAAUAUAAUAAGUAUUGAAUAUAGUAUUUUUACUUGAGUAGCUUGCAAAUACAUAAUUAAGAACAAUCUCAAUAAUCUAUCAAGUACAAUAAUUAAUUUGUCUAAACAAUUUAGUACUUAUAAAAACUCAACUAUCAUGAACAAAAACCAAAUUCUUAUACAUAUCUCAAUAUUUUAUUUCAAGUGAUUGCACAUCUUACUAAAAAUAUGGUCUAAAAUGCUAUUUAUGAUAAUGACCAUAAUACGUUUUAUUGGAUUAAUAUGCCAAAACAAAGAAUCUAUCAUCUAUCCAAGAAGUUAUUUGUAAAAAACCAACGUUUUAUUUGGUACAAGUUAAAAUAAAAACCGUUAUUUUACUUUUUAAUAGAAUAAAAUUAAAGACAUCAAUUUUAAAUAUUUUGCAACUGUCAUACAAGAAAUUCAUUGAUAUUUAUAUUGUAAUAAGGAGAUAUUGUUAUCAACUAAAAGUUCACCAAAAUUUGCUAAAUAUUAGUAUAUUGUUUAAGAAUAUAAGAUAACUAGUCAUAUCAAUAAAUAUUUUAUUAAAACUAUGAUUUUUUUUUACAAGAUUAAAAAUGACUAAAAAUAACUUGAAGGAAGAAAAAAGAAACACACUCUUCUAAUCCUAUCUUAAUAUGUAAAUUUUUAAAAUUUUGAUUUAGAACUUCAUACUUCCAAAUUGAAUUCGAAAAUUUAAUCAAUAGGAAAUAAAUUCAAAACCUCACCUUUUCACACAUUGGUUACACAUCAAGAUUUGGAGAGCCUGAAGUUCUAAACCCUUCAGCUGCUGUAGUUCUAUCUUGUUCUCUCAACCUCGUAUUUGGAAAAAUAUGGCAGCUCUCCUAGUGUUCGAUGAAUGUUGCAUAGUUUUCAAAAAUAUUCCGUCUAAUCCUCAAAGGUGCUGCAUCCAACAUAUAUCAGCUUUUGAAGUUUUAAUUCAAAAUUCUCAACACAAUAAGUUCUAGUACAGGUUAUCCAAGGAAAAGUGUUAACUUUCCUUCACCACCUAGUGCUUGCAGUUAACAAGGGAAGUUUUGAAAGAAUUCUUCCUACUUCUUCCUUAAAAUUCUGCACAAAAAGACACCCCUCAUUCUGAUAAUCCCCUGAUAGAUUAUGACCAGAUGAGUCGCUCGAAAAUACAGAGCUUGAUUCGCAAUUCAACCUUAAAUAUUUAAGUCCAUAUAAGUUCUUUGCUUUAAUUGGGUAACUCAUGUAUUGUCGAGAUAGUGGGUGACCCUGCCAGUGCUGCGAGGAGGUCCGAAACAAUUUUAGGUGAUUCUUGGCAGUGCAGGUGACAUGAGACUCGUACGGAAUACAACACGAUUCCUAAGUAGUGUUACAAAUCAUUGCCCCAAGGAUACAGGUCGCCAGGAGGACCCUCGGUCCAGUUUAGGAACGAUUGGCCUGGUUGUAAGUAAAUACUAGGAUCGUGAGGCAACUUUCGAGCCAGUCCGUUCAGGAUCUGGUGGAAUGCAUCGCCAGGUUUUGCAGGUCGAGGGAAAAGCAUGGCUUGCUUCAUGGCUGGGUUAGCCAGUAGUCUCUGCUUCUCAAGCACCUCCUCAUGAUUAAUAGUACACAAUAUUUUGUCCAGUAUAGGAACAUCUUUCUCUUCCACAAACACCCCAAUCUUCUCCCAUGGUAUGGCAUCAGCGAAAGGAAGCACUAUGUCGUCUGCAAUAAUGACAGGAAUGCAACCAAAAAUCACCCCUUCAACAAGCCGGGGACUCCAGGGAGCCCAACCAAGUGGACACAAGCAAAAAAUUGCGCGUUGCAUGUCUUCAUAGUAAGUUGCUGGAUGCUCUGUCGAGAUGUCGAACAAUGGGUUAUCUUUGAAAUUUUCCCAGAUAGCUGCUCUUGCGCCUCUGCAAAGAAUCAUCCAAUGAAGAACUCAGUAUGUCUAACAAACCAAGAGGAAGCAAAAGAAUAAAUACACAAAAGAUGAAUAAAAACUAGCUUGCAUGCAUGUCGGGAGAGAGUAGACUGAUACUUCAGUAACCACAUUGAAAGUUUUGGUCAUGUCUCUUUAGCACACAUGAACACAACCCAAGAAAACCUUCUUUUAGAUUAUAGAACGAAAAAGCAUACUAAUAAAUAAAUAAACAAAUAAUACUACAUAUAAAAAUAGUAAGUAGUCGUAAAAACCUUACCGAGCAUAAUAACCACCUUCAGGAUCGUUGCCAGGGUCAUAAAAUAAACCUCUGAAAUAUGCAAAAAUAGAGCGUGGGGUGCUUGGCGGAUUCAGCCGGGUUUGCAUCCUUUCAGGUGGAGCAUACGGAGGGAUAACAAUUGAAUCUUCCUUGAGACAAACGUGAUGAUUCUGGCCAAACGUUUGAAUUAACGUUGCUCGCUUCAACAGUGGGAGAAUACCCCUCUCAAUGGCCUUUUCUUCCUGUAUCAGAAAAAAUGCGCAAGUUUAUUGUAAUAUAAAAAUGGUUUAAAAGUAAGCCUCAUUCUGUUACUUCCGAUUGUCACUAGAAAGAAGGAAAUAGAUGUUUUCACGAGUCAGUGGAAGCACAUCCCUCUUUGAUCAUCUGUGCCUUCUAGGAUUCGUGCAUAAUCCUACGGGUGCAGGACGUUAACUGUAAUCACAACGAAGGCACAAAAAGACAAAAUUGCGUAUGAAAGUGAAAUUUCUGAAUACCUGGUAAUGAAAGCAAGCAGCGAAAUCAUGUGGUACAACAAAAAAAUGGUCUGCUCCAUCUGUCCUGUUCCAGUACGGCCAGUGGCUAGAAAUGUAGCUGAUAGCACUUCUCAUAACGCGGGGUGACUUGAAAGGCAAAGGAAGCCCAUUUGGAGUCAAAUCACAUGUUGUGUACACAGGAGUGUAAAACCAGUCGGCCUCUUCAGGAUUCAACGUCCGGACAGGGCUUUCCGUCAAAAAGUCGUGAAGAUACUCCUCCACAGCGAACAUGUGUGUAAGACAGCGAGGGUCCUUUUUCAACCAAUCAGUGUUAUAUUUACUGUAGGACAACAAAGUUCAACCAUCGCUAGGUUAGAUACACUCCAGUAUUCUAUAUCUUAUGAAGCAACCCUCCCAAAGACAUCGUGUCAUAUCAAACAGUAAAAAGAGCGUCACAGUAACGUAAAAACCUUAAUAGAAUUCAGAAUACCAGAGCGAAAAGAAUUGGAUAUGAUUUCAUCUCUUAGAUGGUGCUCGUAAGCUUCAAAAAAAAUAAAUACCUCGGAAUGUCAUAGAUAAAAACUUUCAGACGGCCAACAGGGUUGUCCUCCAGCACAUCACCCGCACUUCCUGCAAAGAAUUUACCAGGUGUCCUUGUCAUCUAAGUGGAUGGUAUAACUUUCAUGUAGGACUUUCAUACAGAAAUAAAAUGAAAUAUGCCUUAUUAAGAGUUGUUCAUCACUGAAAAAUCAGGAUAACUAUGUUGCACACACAACCUUGCAACAGCUGAAAUGGCAUCUUUCAUUUAGUAGAAGCAAUAUUCAGCUGUCUUCAAGAUAAUAAGUUCCUAGGGAAAUUGAGCAUAAGUGGGUUCGCCUGGCGAUUGAGUUUCACAGCCUAAUUUCUUUCUACUGAACAGGAUAAGCUGCAUGUACUAUCUCUCUAUACUCGCACUUUGAACUAAUUUUGAGCGAUUUCUCAAGUUGGAGCUUGAUAACUGUGGGUUACCAAAGAAUUCCAAAUUGCUUAAUCAACCAGUUCUUAUAAAAUGCACCAUAUAAUCUGCACAAACUCUGGAAACCCGGGUCACCAGAUGAUAAAUUCUAUUUCCCCAAGCCAGCUUGCCAGGCUCCUUGCGCAACGAUCAAUAUUCACAACAUUCCCGAACAUAAGAAACCCUAAGCCAUGCAAAUGCGGUACCUGAAAUUCGUUGAUGACCCAUUUCCGCAGUGACAUCUUGAACAAAAUAGAUGAAUAGCAGCAGUAACACGACAGACCUUAAGCCAGAAGCCACAACAGUGCGCUUCAUUAACCCCCACCCUCUACAUUUCUUAUUACAGAACCAACUCAUAGCUAAACUACAAGAAUCUGCGCACUCCAAAGGGUGCUCCAUUGGCUGCCCUCCUUGUUCAGUGCCACCCCAUCAUGCCCUCCUACGAAACACCCAAUUCUCCCAUCCCUAAGAGAAGCUCCAAACCUUCCCGAAAACGCUACAAACCCUCUCUUCCGAUCCCCCAAAUGCUAGCUGCUAAAAAAAUAAAUAAUCCGUGCAGCUUAAACCAUCCGAACCCAUCCCAUCAAAUACCAUUCGCGUGUAGCUCGAUCGUGCAUCAACGCAUCACCGAAGUUUCCAAUGCUCCAAUACACGCACGCACACGCACAAGGUUGUCGUGAAUGCUACCGCUUGAGGCCAAGUCUGUCCCACUAGGACUCAAACCUCGGCUCCUCGGUGAUGAUCAGUGGGACAUCACGGCACCCACAGCUUCCUUCCAGCAAGCACGCAGCUGGCAAAGGGCUUGUAGCGUGAAGCUGGGCAUCAUGCUUCUAUGUCCAACAAGCGAUUGCACCCCGACUACUAAAUUUGUUUGGCAUGAUUCUCCUGACCAACUCGUGCUGCUUCUUCUCCGACGCCUUGACUCGGCCCAAGGGACCAGGACGCUGCGAGACCGUCAAUAAUAUCCAAGUUCGUUGAUUUCAAGUCAAGGUUUACAGAUAUUAGAGUGAAGUCUUCUCUUCUAAUUCAAGUGUAGAUUUGAAUGCGGAUGCUGACCAGGUGAGAAAUGAGAUCCAGAUCUUGAAACGACGUUCCACGGAUGGUGGCAUGAUCCUAAAUUAAACUAGGUUAGUGUUGAAUUAGUCGUUAAUUUCAUGUUAAGUGAGGUCUGUACCGAUGAGUAGAAGUGUAGGGUUUCAUUUUGUGUUUGAAUUUAGACAGUGGUUUUUGUGUUUGAAGUGAAAUUUUUUUUUUUUUUUUUUUUUUUUUUUGCGUAAUUAAAAUAGCCCGACAUUUUAGACGAGGAAUUUGAUAGCUUUUUUAAUACCAGGAUUAGAUUACAUAAUUUUUCUAAAAUCAGCUUUUUAUCAAAGUUAAAAAGUUACAGUUAAAAACAUUCAAUGCAUUAGAUAUGUUGAUAUCAUGGACAUUCAAACAGACUAAACUAGAUUUGAUAAAGCAAUUUUGGUCACACACACCUAACAACAACAACAACAACAACCACGCAUAUGUAUAUAAAUAUAGGCACAUAUAAUUGAUCACAUGGGUACACAAAAAAUAAUCAAUCAAUGUUAGAAAUAUUAAUAGUGCAUUCGCUUUACAGCUGUGCACUAUUAAUGUGCUUGAAAUUCCAUGCACAAUCAACAACAUGUGGAAUGAAGGAACACGCAUACAUAUACAACAUGUGGAAUGAAUGAACAAUUUUAGGUUUUAAAAAAACCAAUCCUUUUGAAACCCUAAUCCUGUAACAACGCGGAAGCCCUAUCCCUUACGCAGUUUUCAUGUCGAACAGGCUCGUGGUUGCUGGUGAAUUCAUGGCGCCAUGGAUGGGAUUGGCCGAUACGGCGCGAGCUGCAACGCGUCAUGGCAGAGAACCUCAAAGGCGGCUCUGGAAAUCAGAUGAUAUCGGUGGCGGCAGAUUAUAGCAGGUCUCUAAGAUUGACUUGAGCUCGAACAAGCGCUGGAUUCGGUGUGUAGGUUUUUGUUCGUCCGCAAGCUCGUUGGACUGAUACCGCCCCGAUUCGUCCAGCAAGCACGUCAUGGCGUCCGCGCGAUUCCCACAGACGAUGUCAUCAGCUGCACUGUCGCCCACCAUCAUCACCUCGUGGGGGUGCAGGCCCCAUUUGUCGCAGAUGUGCAGCAAUGGCGCGGGAUGAGGCUUGCAAGGGGUGAACUCACGGCCCAAAGCGGGAUGGAACUUGGGCAAUCCGAAUCGUGAGUGGAAGAAUUCGAUGCCAGUGUUCACAUUGCGGGUGAUGAUGCCGCGACGAAUGCCACGCGCAUCGAGGAAUGAGCACACCUCCUUCGCGCCCGGCAUGAUCUGAAGCUUCUCAUGGGCGUCUUGCUCGAUCUCUGUUAUUAUGGCGUACGCGCGAGCUUGUUUCUCGGAGCUCCAGCUGGAGAUUUCGUGAAGGAUGUCGAUAGGGUUGUUGUUGACGACGUCUGGAUGAUCUCCGCCCAGUAUACGUUUGUACAUGAGUCGGAAGUCGAUGCAAGGCACGGUAAGAGUCCCGUCCAUGUCAAAGAUCAUACCCUUCACCGAUGGCUUUGGGUGGAAAUGCUCCGCUGUCCCCGUCAGUAGCCGUCUUAUGGGUGACAUAGCCCUUCUGAAGCCUCACCACUCCUUUACACGGAAUGGACCAGGGAAGAGCUGAUACGCCAGUAACCCUUCAAGUAGUUUCCUGCAACCCAUAAACAUGAAUGCACCCCCAAGUACCAAAAGAUUAGAUUAUGUACAACACUUCUGCCCGAUUUUCCGUGACCAAUACCCACGUAAGCAACUCUUGAUCUGGACACAGCGUGUGCCGUAGCAAUUUGAUCUGCUUCAGCUGAAAGGAUUUCUUCCCUUGGCACUCUAUUGGUGAACAAUCAACCGAGAGCUAGUAAUUCCAAGAAGUACUAGAUAGUACAAUGUCUAAGACACUAUCAGUACAAUACCGUAAUCGAAUUAUCAAUUUGGAACGAGAGCAACGAUAGUAAGCCGAGAAGGUGUCGAAUUGCGGUUUGAUAGAAAAAUCUUGGUCAGAAGCACUGUUUUUCUAACAUGCCAGAUUCAAAAUAACACUCUCGGCAACGAGAGUGUUCAUCAAGCUGUCAAUAUGCGAAAUUCCACAGUCGUACAAUCACGAAUGGAAGAAAACCCGAAGCACUCGACGUUCGCACUCAAAAACCCAAUCCCUAUAUCCCAAUUCAGAGAGGGAAAACGAUUCCCAAGAUCAGUUAUUCAAAUUCCAAUACAUUCAUUCCAACCAUUGCCCUUAGCAUUGCAAUCCCACCAACUUCUCAGUAAUUCUUUCAUACCUUCAAGGCCCUGAACACUCCCGACAAUUCAAUAUUGGUUGUUGAUAGCAUUGCACGUUUCCAACCUCAAACAAAUGAAGCUCCAGAGAGUAACGGUCUCCACCACUCUGCCUUGAAGCUCCAGGUCAAUUCUCGGCACGCAGAGAGUGUAUAGAAAGAGUUCCAUCUCCACAUACCGCAAGGCCUCGGUGUGACAUACUGUAACACCAAAAGUGGAGAGCGAAUCUGGACCUUCCACAUCGUGAUCAUACUAUCAUUCUCCUUGAAAAAGCAACUCCCAUCAAACGCAAAGCUGUGGAAAUGACAGUGCGUUAGAAAGUGAGAAAGAGAGGAGACAGUCAUCGUCUCAUCCAUCCGCGACCCGUCGAUUUCUACCCCAUAUCUCUCUCUCUGCCUCAUCCGCUUAAAUUCCGUGGUUGCAUGAAGCAAGCAGGGUUAGUUUAUAUUAUUGGUUGUGUGUCAACGUAUGGUCAUCAUGUUGGCUCUCUGAAUGCCAUCUCUCUUGGGUAUUAGAGUCUCGCGCUACAACUCAUCCAGGGUUCCUGCAUGUAGAGAGUUGAGAAAAGAGAGAGAGCUACCUCGCAGACCCACAGAGGCAUUACCUGCUAAGGAGAUUCUGAUAUCCACAACAUGAAGCGAUUGUCAUCAUGUAGGGCUAUUGAAGGGCACCAGACCGAGAGUCUCUUAGUUAGUCUCAAAAGAUUGGACAAUGUGUUGAAAGACACAAAUACACAUUUUUAGUGCAAGUCACGUCUGCUUCUGAUCCAUUAUGUCUAUUCAAGAUAGGCCAAGCACAACCACCUGUGAGCGAUAUCGCUUUGUGACAUAGGUAUAACUUCUUGAUAGGGCAUCGCUUUCAGAGACGGUAUCAAUUCAAGACCACAUCUUGAGAUAGGUAACACCAAUAUAUAUAUAUAUAUAUAUAUAUAUGUAUAGAUAUGUGUUUUUUUAACAAAGUUUAGUAUUGAUAAUGUUGUUUUUCAUUUGCAUGAUAUCAAAGCAAGUAUGAUAAUUCACACCAGAGUUUGCACAUGAGUGAAGAUUUCUCCUAUUUUAAUAGAGAUUCAAGUUUGUUUGUUUUCACCUAAUGUUGAUCAAGUGAAUUAGAUAUAAUAAGCAAGACUCCAUUAUGGACUCUAUUGCCACAAAUUUCACUAAUUGGUGACAAGUCUAGCUUUGAUCAAUAUGCCCUUGGGAGGUUUUCAUUUUUUAUAAGAAAAAAUAAGGAUUUAUAUUUUGGAGUAUUUUGUGCAAUUUGUAGCACAUCUAUACAUAAAAAAUUUAGAGUUAGUACCUUAAGUUAUGUUGAAUGUGUGUUUAAGCUUGAUCAAAUAGUUAAUCAAAGAUUAUUGAAAUUUAAGUGGGAAGGAGACUAGGAAAUUGGAAUUUGGAGGGCUAGUGAAGGUUUCUCAUAUUUGUAACAAUCUGCAAAUUGGCAUUUUUUUUAUUUAUUAUUAUUAUUUUUUUAAUACCAGUAGCAGACUUGAUUUCCAACAAUUAUGCCAAUCUUGAAAGAAAUUGAACAAUAAAAACAAGAGAUGUCAGUGCUAAGAAUAUGCCAUUAAGAUUGGAGGAAGAAGGUGGUUGAUGCCUAAGUAGAUAAUGAAAAUUUUCUUCUAUUCAGUAUGUUUAAUCUUCAUUAAACUAUUUUUUCUUUUUUUUUUUAAUUAAAAAAUUGAAAGAUGCACAAGUUUUUAAUUAAUGACAGCAAUUAAAUUAUUAGUUAUUGAGAUUUUUAUUUUAACAUAGGAUUUAAUUAAGAUUUGAUUAUGAUUACAUAGGAUUUGAUUAUGAUUUUUGGUAGGUAUUUAUUAGAAUUUGGCUAAGAGUAAGCAUUAAGAUUUUGUAAAGAUUUGACUAGGAUUUAAGAUAAGGAUUUGAAAAGGAUUUAAUUAAGAUUCUUUUAGGAUUUAUUUAAAGUUUGAUUAGGAUUCCUUUAGGAUUUCAUACAAAUUUUAUUAAGUGUCUUUUAAGAUUCUUUUAAAAUUUUAUUUGAAUUUGAUUAGGAUUUGAUAAGGAUUCAUUAAGAUUUCAUUAAUGUUUGGUUAUAAGUACUUAGAGUUUGUUAGAAUUUGAUUAAGAUUUGAUUAAAGUUUCUUUAUGGCUUAAUAAAAUUUGAAUAGGAUAUGAUUAAGAUUUAUUUAGAGAUGAUUAGAAUUUAAUAAGAUAUAUCUAGGAUGAUUUCAAAAUUAAUAGGAUAUAUUGAGGAUAAUUAGAAGUUUAUCCAAGAUUGCAAAGGGGUGUUUCUAAAUGCCUUAUACAUAGGUUUUGGUUGUAAAUCAAACUUUAAGGUAAGCUCAUUCUCUUCUACAAUUAGAUGUCUAGUGCAUCAAGUUAGAUUUCACAUAACACAACACUGCCUUUGGUUUAGGUAGUUAAGAAAAAAUACAUAUUUACAAAGGUUAAGUAGCAAAGAUUUUUUUUUAUCACAAUGUAGCUAUAAAUAGCUAUAAUAUUAUUUUGUAGAUAAUACAAGAAUAGCAACAAUUAAUAUUUGGUUAUAUACUUUAUAUCUAUUUUAUUAGUACAUAGAUAGUUCUAAGUCUUAGGUUGUAAAAUGAUUAGAGAAAAGAUUCAUGAAGACCUUUAGGUUUUCAACUCAAUAUGAAGAAGCCUUGGAACUCUGGCUUUGGAAUUGUAAUUGUGGUGCUUGAAGGCUAGUCAGACGAUGAAUUAGAUCGAAAAUGUGUAAUUGAUGAUUAUGGAAGGAUCUUGGCCUCUUACAGAAGCUUCAAAAGGGACAUUUCUUCAGCUAUUAGUACAACGAAAAGAAAUAGAAUUAGUUAAAUGAGGAAGGAUUAUGUGGAGAACAAUUUACUAUUUUGUAUGUUGUUAGAUGGAGCUUGGGACAUAGUUCCAAGGCCAAAUUGAAGAGGUUAAGAUUGAGCAUGGGAAAUACAUGAGAUUGAGCUGUAAAUUAUUACAUAUGAGAUUGAGCAUGAGAAAUUGGGUCUGUUAUAUUAAGAAUGCAUUAAUCAUCAGGCAGGCAUAUAGCCCUGCCAUCUUCGGUCAAGUACCCACGUCUGCCUCGCUCUAGCUUCCAGCAGGUAUAUCGAACAAGCACACAAGCAAAUUAACAACCGUACACUGCAACACGACAUUUCAAUCCCAAAAACAACACCGUUCUGGACACCCUGUAACUGCUCCGCCAAAACCAAAUCCCGCACUAUUCACUUCUUCUUGGCAGCGGCCUUAGUAACCUUCGCACCAGUUGGUUCCUUCUUCUCCACGGCCUUGAUAACACCUACGGCCACCGUCUGUCUCAUGUCACGCACGGCGAAACGUCCCAAUGGCGGGUAUUCCGCGAAAGUCUCCACAGUCAUGGGCUUGGUCGGAAUCAUCUUUACGAACCCUGCGUCUCCGUUCUUCAAAAACUUGGGCUCCUUCUCCAGCUCCUUACCCGAUCGCCUGUCCACCUUCGUCAAGAUCUCGGCAAACUUCACAGCAAUGUGAGAGGUGUGGCAGUCCAGCACCGGCGCGUAACCGUUUCCGAUCUGUCCCGGGUGGUUCAUGAUGAUAACCUGGGCAGUGAAGUUGGCUGCUUCCUUCGCAGGGUCGUUCUUCGAGUCCGAAGCCACGUAUCCUCUCUUCAGGUCCUUCACCGCCACGUUCUUCACGUUGAACCCGACGUUGUCUCCGGGGUGAGCCUCAGGCAUCGACUCGUGGUGCAUCUCUACCGACUUCACCUCAGUCGUCA